AUUCCUCUCUCACCCGAGAUCCAUGGUGACGACGUCGCUGCCGCGAUCUCCAAUUCGGCCUAGCUCCAGUGUUCUCCUGCGCCGUUACUCGCUGGCCCCAUCGCCCUGGCUCCCAUUGAGUGCUUCCUCUGAUCCUCCGCCGCCGUGACAUCCUGCACGCCCCUGUGCCCCUGCAGCAACCCUAACACCGACGUGUCUCCUGCUCCUCUGGUUUUUGCCGGUUCACCAACACAUGCGUCUUCGCGCAUGCAGCUGCUGCCACGGGCUCGACGGUGCUGCUCUGCCUCUGCUACCUCAACUGCGACGCCGAUGGUUCAAUCACGGCUGGAUACAACAACAACCGCGGCCACUCUCAACAUGGUGGCUUCCAUUAUUCUGUUUGGGAUUUGGUGCCCCAGAUUCUUAAACGUUCCACUUGUGCAUGGGUGACAAUUAGGUUUACACUUAUAGUAUAAAAUGCUACUUGACGUAAUGAGGUUGAGCAUUUGCGUGAGUGCCGCAACUUGGGAAGAUACAUAUGACCGGCAAUGAUGGCAGCAUGUUAAUGGCAUCAUGUAGGUGUGGUGUUCGAUCCCUUCUUUCUUUGUGUGUGUGUGUGUGGCGUGUAUAUAUGGAUUCGUCUUAAUAUGCCAUGUUAAUUGUUCAUUUAGAUUGAUCUCUUUUCCAGCACGUUUAUCCCAUAUAUUUGAUAUCUCUCUCCCAGCAGGUAAUUUCAUCUUGUAAUUUGCGUAAAUGUUUGUUCGUAUUGUGCAGUGGUAAUCUAUUUUAUUUCUCAAGAAUAUUAACUAUUGUUGCGUAUGAUUGCAGGAUAAUGCAUUAUGACAAUCGCUCUGUGCCUCUGCCUAUUCUUACACUCUGACUUCGGAAGUAUAAACCGAUGCGUAGGUUCAUAAGCUGAAUAGAACGUGAUGCGACAUGAUCCUGGAGUACAAGAGAUACAAACUUAGGCCAGUCUUGAUUUUAGCCUAUUGUUGUGAUAAUUCUAUAGAGUUUUUAUUUCUAAGAAAAGCUUGUGAAGAGGAGAUAAAAGGAUAUGAUAAGAACAAAUGUUACUAAGCUGUUAACUAAAAUCUGGUGCUAAGAUAUCUUAGUAUGAAGGUUGCUAUACUUACAUCAACCCUUCAUUUAAAUAUAAUUUAAUCAUGAGUUGUGCAGUCAACCAUAUGCCAGUACAGAACAAGUAACAUGUGUAUAGCUUGUUUGAUUUCAUUAGUAUUUCUCCUACUAAUUCUUACCGUGUCUUCUCUGAAUUUUUUAUAUUAUCCUCUCUUCAUAGUGAUAUGCACGCACAUGAGCAUGAUAGCUUAAGAUGGAUAAUUAUACCGUGAUCCUAAAGUCUACGUUUGCUUAUCUAUGUAUAAAUGUAAACAUGACCCAGUAUUGACAAGCAUAAGGUGUGUCUAAAUUUAUUAUUUCUUCCACACUUGGCACAAUCUGACAGCCAAUUGCAAUUGACAUUAUUAAUUGAAUAUGUUGUCGUGCAUUCGUUGUAGCAAGUUUACAAGAAUAUAGCUUCAACUAAUUUUAUUUCCUUUCAUGUUUUUCUUUUGCUUAUGUUUUCUGAAACUAAAUUUAUUGUCCAAGGUAGUAUACUUAACUAUUCGUAUUUACUUCAUUGCUAGCAGAAAGACCAAGAACGUGCAAUUUAUUAGAGCUGGAACUGGCAGAACCUAUCAUCAGGAUAUGGAGUUACAGAUGCCAAGAGAAGCUGAUCAUUUUGGUUUCAGUUAAUGAAGGGUGAACAUGUCAGUGUAGAUGCUCAUGUGAUGAGCUUAGGUUUUUGUUUUCCGGAAUGAAGCUGCGAUUUGUUUCCUUGUACAAUGCACAUGUUCUUGUUAAACACAUGUGUACAAGCUGAAGGUACAAUUUGUUGUCAACAAUUCCGUUCUGAUGGGCAAUACUUAGAGCAGAGCAUAUAUAUACACAUAUGUAUUAUUUUGAUGGUGUUCUUUGUAAACCAACAUUGUUGAUCUAAUAUACGAUGUCUUUCUUACUA